UACGUAGGUGGCAAGCGUUGUCCGGAUUUACUGGGCGUAAAGAGCGCGCAGGCGGUCGUUCAAGUCGCGUGUGAAAGCCCCCGGCUCAACUGGGGAGGGUCACGCGAUACUGAUCGACUCGAAGGCAGGAGAGGGAAGUGGAAUUCCCGGUGUAGUGGUGAAAUGCGUAGAUAUCGGGAGGAACACCAGUGGCGAAGGCGACUUCCUGGCCUGUUCUUGACGCUGAGGCGCGAAGGUCAGGGGAGCAAACGGG
rnacentral:rRNA from 1 species